rnacentral:rRNA from 1 species
GAUCAUGGCUCAGGAUGAACGCUAGCGGCAGGCUUAACACAUGCAAGUCGAGGGGCAGCGGGGUGUAGCAAUACACUGCCGGCGACCGGCGCACGGGUGCGUAACGCGUAUGCAACCUACCCAUAACAGGGGCAUAACACUGAGAAAUUGGUACUAAUUCCCCAUAACAUUCGAAGAGGCAUCUCUUUGGGUUGAAAACUCCGGUGGUUAUGGAUGGGCAGUGUGUUGUUA